rnacentral:rRNA from 1 species
GAUGAACGCUGGCGGCGUGCUUAACACAUGCAAGUCGAACGGUAAGGCCCUUCGGGGUACACGAGUGGCGAACGGGUGAGUAACACGUGGGUGAUCUGCCCUGCACUUCGGGAUAAGCCUGGGAAACUGGGUCUAAUACCGGAUAGGACCACUGCCUGCAUGGGUGGUGGUGGAAAGCUUUUGCGGUGUGGGAUGGGCCCGCGGCGUAUCAGCUUGUUGGGGGGGUGAUGGCCUACCAAGGCGACGACGGGAAGCCGGCCUGAGAGGGAGCCCGCCCCCGCUGGGAGUUAGUACGGGUUCAGACGCUAGCCGGGGGAAGCAGAGGGGAAUUUUACCCACGGGGCCAAAGCUUGAGGCGCCGCCGCAGCGUGAGGAAUGGGGGCGUUCGGGUUGUAACCCUCUUUCAGCCCCCACAACGCGAAAGUAGCGGUAGGGGCAAAAGAGGGACGGGCCAACACCGGCCCACCCGCCGCCGUAA